rnacentral:rRNA from 1 species
UUUAAAGGGAGCGUAGGCGGGAUAAUAAGUCAGUUGUGAAAGUUUGGGGCUCAACCUUAAAAUUGCAAUUGAUACUGUUAUUCUUGAGUGCACGCAGGGGUGCCGGAAUUCAUAGUGUAGCGGUGAAAUGCUUAGAUAUUAUGAAGAACUCCGAUCGCGAAGGCAAGUGCCCGGAGUGCUACUGACGCUGAGGCUCGAAAGUGCGGGUAUCAAACAGGAUUGGAUACCCUGGUAGUCCGCACAGUAAACGAUGGAUACUCGCGGUGCGUGAGUUAUUAUGCGUCGCCAAGCGAAAGCGUUAAGUAUCCCACCUGGGGAGUACGCCGGCAACGGUGAAACUCAAAGGAAUUGACGGGGGCCCGCACAAGCGGAGGAACAUGUGGUUUAAUUCGAUGAUACGCGAGGAACCUUACCCGGGCUUGAACUAGGCAGGGAUGAUGCAGAGACGCAUCAGUCUUCGGACCUGCUUGGAGGUGCCGCAUGGUUGUCGUCAGCUCGUGCCGUGAGGUGUCGGCUUAAGUGCCAUAACGAGCGCAACCCUUUUCUACGUUUGCCAUCAGGUUAUGCUGGGCACUCCGUAGAUACUGCCAUCGUAAGAUGUGAGGAAGGUGGGGAUGACGUCAAAUCAGCACGGCCCUUACGUCCGGGGCUACACACGUGUUACAAUGGGGGGUACAGAAGGUUGCUACCUGGCGACAGGAUGCUAAUCCCAAAAACCCUUCUCAGUUCGGACUGGAGUCUGCAACCCGACUCCACGAAGCUGGAUUCGCUAGUAAUCGC